GACGAACGCUGGCGGCGUGCUUAACACAUGCAAGUCGAACGGAAAGGCCCUGCUUUUGUGGGGUGCUCGAGUGGCGAACGGGUGAGUUACACGUGAGUAACCUGCCCUUGACUUUGGGAUAACUUCAGGAAACUGGGGCUAAUACCGGAUAGGAGCUCCUGCUGCAUGGUGGGGGUUGGAAAGUUUCGGCGGUUGGGGAUGGACUCGCGGCUUAUCAGCUUGUUGGUGGGGUAGUGGCUUACCAAGGCUUUGACGGGUAGCCGGCCUGAGAGGGUGACCGGCCACAUUGGGACUGAGAUACGGCCCAGACUCCUACGGGAGGCAGCAGUGGGGAAUAUUGCACAAUGGGCGGAAGCCUGAUGCAGCAACGCCGCGUGCGGGAUGACGGCCUUCGGGUUGUAAACCGCUUUCGCCUGUGGCGAAGCGUGAGUGACGGUAAUGGGUAAAGAAGCACCGGCUAACUACGUG
rnacentral:rRNA from 1 species